AUUGAACGCUGGCGGCAUGCUUUACACAUGCAAGUCGAACGGUAACAGGUCUUCGGAUGCUGACGAGUGGCGAACGGGUGAGUAAUGCAUCGGAACGUGCCCAGUCGUGGGGGAUAACGCAGCGAAAGCUGCGCUAAUACCGCAUACGAUCUAUGGAUGAAAGCGGGGGACCGUAAGGCCUCGCGCGAUUGGAGCGGCCGAUGUCAGAUUAGGUAGUUGGUGGGGUAAAGGCCCACCAAGCCAACGAUCUGUAGCUGGUCUGAGAGGACGACCAGCCACACUGGGACUGAGACACGGCCCAGACUCCUACGGGAGGCAGCAGUGGGGAAUGUUGGACAAUGGGCGCAAGCCUGAUCCAGCAAUGCCGCGUGCAGGAAGAAGGCCUUCGGGUUGUAAACUGCUUUUGUACGGAACGAAACGGCUCUCUCUAAUACAGAGGGCUAAUGACGGUACCGUAAGAAUAAGCACCGGCUAACUACGUGCCAGCAGCCGCCGCGGUAA
rnacentral:rRNA from 1 species